CAAUCGUAGAGGGUGAUAAUCCCGUACUCGAAAGGUUAUAAGAAGCAUAUUAAGUAGGGCGGAACACGAGAAAUUCUGUCUGAAGAUGGGGGGACCAUCCUCCAAGGCUAAAUACUCCUGACUGACCGAUAGUGAACCAGUACCGUGAGGGAAAGGCGAAAAGAACCCCUGUGAGGGGAGUGAAAUAGAUCCUGAAACCGCAUGCAUACAAGCAGUGGGAGCCGACUUGUU
rnacentral:rRNA from 1 species